rnacentral:sRNA from 1 species
GCUCUUCCUCAGCCACCCGCAGACCAAGACCUACUUCCCGCACUUCGACCUGCACCCGGGGUCCGCGCAGUUGCGCGCGCACGGCUCCAAGGUGGUGGCCGCCGUGGGCGACGCGGUGAAGAGCAUCGACAACAUCGGCGGCGCCCUGUCCAAGCUGAGCGAGCUGCACGCCUACAUCCUGCGCGUGGACCCGGUCAACUUCAAG